AUCUGUAUUGUAACAAACCGUAUUCAUGUAAGACAUAAACAGGCGCGUUAACAGGAGGUGCGCUGUCUGGGGGCGUUUAUUACAUGUCGAUGGUCCGAGGGCGGGUGCGUUCAGUAGAUAUGAGGCGUUCAUUUGAGACAGGCGUUCAUUAUAGCGGAGACAGCGCGAAGCCCCAUAGGUAUAGAAAUAGUCUAUUACUAGGCGACUCAGUUUUUGUGGUCAAUGACGUCAUUGUCACAAGCUGCCAUCCAGCCAGCCGCGAUCUGCCUCGGCACAGGCCUCCAGAGCGCACAAAACAAUAUGGCGGAUGAGUAUUUCUGCCCCUCUCAAAAACACACGAAAACUGACUGCAGAAAAGCCAAGAAUUGUCGAAAAAGAAGUGCUUGAAAACAAUAAUUCGUAAGAAUGCUAACCACGGAUAUGAACUUGUCUAAUUAUGUGCAAAAGACUGUGUAAAAGCAUUGUUAAAAGUUUUGAGGAGUGUGCUCCUAUGUAUUUGUUCUUGCACUGGCAGACUUAGGUUAAUCUCAGCCAGAGAUUCUGAAAUCAAGCUGAGACACAAGCUGCUGGCUGAAAGGCAUGACCCAGGGCAGGAUGUACAUAUAACACAUUGGUAUUGAAUGUAGGUCACCAAAAAUAAACACAUAUAAAGUAACAAAAAGUAAGAUAUUAUUUUAAUGGAAAAAUUGUUCUAAAAAAUGAACCAGAGUUUUUUUUCCAAGUUAGGCUGACAGGUUCUUGUAUAAUGUGUGGUUAGUGACAUUUAGGCUAUUUAGGUUCAUACAUAGUCUCUUGCUAUUACAAUGACUCACUGAGGUAGUAAGCUAAUCAUAAAAAACAAAAACAGGUCUCCUAUAUGAUCCCUUAAGAUUUAAAACUAUUUAGAAAUCAAUUUUCCCAUUUCAACCUAUUUCAAAUUAUAGGCUAAAUAGAUGCUUAUAAAAAGGAUUCUAAUUUGAUAAUUUUAGGUUAAAAGAUUAACAGAUUCUUAUAUGUGGUUUUUAACUGUAUAAUAAAAUAAUGUACUAAGAAGUUUUUCAAAUAUGUUGGAGUGCUUUUAAUCCACCCUUAGUAAAGUAACAUUCUAAAGCACAAGAGAGAAGGUUAAUAAAGUUAUUCUUCCAAUAUUUGAAUUGCUUACUUUAAAACUUACACAAGAGAAAGAAAAUGAUAAAGCCCUAUCUUUGCAAGUUAAUUAAAGUAAUUUAAAGAAGUAGAAGGAAUUGGGACAGUACAGGCAGGGAAUGAGUACUUUUACCUCAAAUCCACUAUGAUAGUGUGAUUUGCUGAUAUACGUAUAAAUGUAUAGAAAUUUGAUAUGUAUUUGUUUAUUGUUUUUAAUUUUGAAGAGAAUAAAAUAGCACCCAGUUUUUUGUAAGGAACUUUAAUUGAUCCUCAUUUGAAAAUAAAUAUGACCUCCCUUCACACCUGAACGCCUUCCCUGUUAAUCAAAGCAUAAAUUUAUUUUGCUAAUUUUGCUGUAUCACUUGUCUAUCAAGUAUAGUUUAGUUAAUGAUAUCCUUAGUAAUGUCAAUAAAUACUUUUUUUUUACCUAGAACAAAAAACAUAUUUGUUCUAGGUAUUCCCCAGGAGGAGUUGGAGGACACCUUUUAAUAAUAAUUGCAGUAUUUAUAGAACAUGCAAUCUUUAUAUGUUUUACAUAUGGUGCAGUUUUUGUGGGUGGUGGAACAUUAUGCAUAAUAAAAGUGCAGGGAAGGGGGGUUCUACACAAGUUUAUGCUGAAAAACGUCAUGCUGGCUCCGCUUUUAGGCAGUGCCACUAUAACUAUGAAACUAUAACAAAACCAAGUACAAAGAGGUUCUAAUUUCAGUCAUGAUCAAGUUAAAUUAUUAAGUCUCACCCAUUGGAAGCCAAGCUCAGAUUGAACAAAAAGGCAAUUAAAUUUGAUUUAUUUUACCAAAAUUCCUAUGUAGUUUGUUUUUAAACACGAAGGCGCGGUAUAAAAGGGUGCUUCCAUUGGAAGCAUCGGCUCAUUUGUCAAUCAACCGCCGUGGAGUGAGAAUCAAAUUCAAGAUGGCGGCCCGAGUCAAGUACAAAAUGCAGAGGGGAGAGGUUUCAAUGCGCUUCUUGAUGUAUAAAAAUGCCAACUCCACCUUCUAGUCCGAUAGAAUGUG